CCAGUAUGGGGAGUUUAACCAUUCAUUCCAUCUUUAUUGCAUACUCAAAUGUGCGAUUCACAGGCUUCUCAGACACACAGUCCCAAGUGCUAGUGGAAAUGGCAGUUUAAAGCAUAAAAGUUUGGGAGCCUGGAACUUUUCUUUUGAUCUUUUUGGCAUUUUUGGCAUGCUCAAAUGGGUGAAUUCAGAGACAUCUCAGCGAUGCUGUCCCAUGUGCCAGAGGGAUGACAGUUUAAAGCAUAAAAGAUGGGCGGAAGUGCUUAGAUCGACAAAAGCUCCAUGCACUUGACCAAGAGGAUUGUGCAUAAUCAUGCAAUGACAUGUCGGAGAAGGAUCACACCAAUUUGCAAAGCAAACAGGGAUGAAGAACAGAUAAGUACAACUUCACCCAAUUUUUCUUUGGUAGCCUUCUUUCCUUGAUUUUAAUUGGUCAGUUUAGAAUCAAUUCAUAAUUCUGUUGGACGGGGUGAAAAAUGGAUCACAUAUGUUUACAAUGUAGAGGCAUGUAGAAAAAAGCGAAGUGACCAAGAAAUGGUUGGUCCAGAUUCACCUUAGAUGACCACUUUU